rnacentral:rRNA from 1 species
AUGAACUCCUCGGGCAAGAUCGUCUUCCAGCAGGGCCUGGAGCGCAUCUGCAGCUCCCCGUGCAGCCUCCACGCCGUGGCCAGGUCCUACUCGUCCGGCGUCCGCGUGGCGCCCGUGGUGCUCAACGUGCCGGUCUGCUCGCGGCCGGUCUUCGGGUUCUUCAAGGACAAGAAGGAGUCGGCGGCCAGCAAGGACGUGGCGGCGACGAGGUCCGGAGGUGGCUGCAGCAGCGGGUUGUGGUGA